rnacentral:rRNA from 1 species
CCUACGGGGGGCAGCAGUGAGGAAUAUUCGUCAAUGGCCGGAAGGCUGAACCAGCAAAGCCGCGUGAAGGACGAAGGUGCUCAGCACUGUAAACUUCUUUUGUCAAGGGACAAAAUCAGGCUCGAGAGCCUGACCGAGGGUACUUGAAGAAAAAGCAUCGGCUAACUCCGUUCCAGCAGCCGCGGUAAUAGGGGGGAUGCGAGCGUUAUCCGGAUUUAUUGGGUUUAAAGGGUGCGUAGGCGGACAGUUACGUCAGCGGUAAAAGCCCGGGGCUCAACCCCGGCGAGCCGUUGAAACUGGCUGUCUUGAGAUGUCGAGAGGUAUGCGGAAUGCGCAGUGUAGCGGUGGAAUGCUUAGAUAUUGCGAAGAACUCCGAUUGCGAAGGCAGCAUACCGGCGGCGAUCUGACGCUGAGGCACGAAAGCGUGGGUAUCGAACAGGAUUAGAUACCCUAGUAGUC